rnacentral:lncRNA from 1 species
GAUCAUAUUUCCACACCCAAAUAGUCGAAGUUGGAAAGUAGGUUGCCACUCUCCACCUUCACAACGACACUUCCAGUGAAAAUCCUUGGAGGAUGCAAUUGGACUCAAAACAAUAAGAGAGAUGAAAAUAGUUCUGUGAUAGAAGCAAAUCUGCCAAAACCAGUUCAGUGUUUUCAGUAAAGUAUUCCCGCACGCUCACCCACCUUCUUCUCAUCCUAGCCAGAGUGGUUUUUCAGAAAUUAAUAUCAAAUUAAAGCAGAACUACUCUUCCUACCAUUGUUGACCCUACUCCACACUCUACCCAGAUGAUGAAGAUCAGGGAUGUUGCCGGCUUUUAUUUUGUAUCACCCAUGUAUAGAAGUAUACCUGUGCACAGUAGAAUCCCAAAUAUAUUUUAAAUGAAAUUGUUGAAUGGAGACCAAAAUUUAAGAAGGCAGAAUUGGACAUGGCCAUCGCCUCGAGCUAAUGGAAGUCUUCAUGUUAUAACUCAUGAUUGUGAUGGAAACAGAUGUUCUUUUAACUCAAUAACACUAUGUUGGAGGACGUGCAUCAUUCUGAAGACGUGACCGUCAGUUGACCUAUGAGCUGGACCCAGGCAAUCAGAGGCUGCUUACUCCCUCCCCUGUCCUUGAAAUGUAUGUUCUGCCCACCAUUCCCAUAGUGGGAGCCAUUUACAAGGACAUAGGCUUGAGAAAGCAAUGUGUUGUUGAAACCACCUGGACAGGAUCCUUGACUCAACCCAGUUAAGGCCUCUACAUAAACUUUUAAGAUUCUGGUGGGCAGGUACAGAGACCUACUCAUCUUGCAACCGCCAAACCCAAGCCUCACAUGUAAGUUCCCUUGGUUAUUAAACCUGCCACCUGCCAAUCCGGAGUGUCUUGCCUCUUUCUUGGUUUCUCCUUACCCUCCG